AAAAAGAUAAAUCAUAGGUUUCCGUGUCCAACAUUUGACUGUCCGUCUUAUAUGAAAUUUUUUAUAAUUAGUAUUUUCAUUGUUAUUACAUGAUAAAAUAUGAUUAAUAUUUUAUGCAUGACUUGUCUUUUUAAUUUUUUUUCAUAAUUUUUUCAAAUAAAACGGACGGUUAAACGUUGGACACGGAAACUCAGGGUUUGUCUUUUU
rnacentral:pre_miRNA from 1 species